CAAUUCAUAGAAGAAUCAUCAAUGGAUGCUAAAACUAAUUGGUGAAAAUAUAAUGAGAAAAAGGAUAUUUACACAGAUCUUCCCUCACAAGAUAUCAUAACUAAUUAUUGUAGUGGAAAUCUUGGUAUACGCUGCUUCAUUCAAGGGAGUACAAUUGAUAUCAACAGCAAUGGGAUAAACAGACCCCAUGAUGUGAUGCACUGAGGACACAAAAUCCCUUCUGUGAUGCUCCUGCCAAACUCCAUAAGUGUAAUGAUGAGGAAACAACAGGCAAACCCUAACCAAGUGACAUUCUACAAAAUAACAUACCAGUACCUUCAAAAAUGUCAUCAAGGACAAGGAAAAACUGAGGAAUAGGAAUUGUUCCAGAUUAAAAGUGACUAAAGUGACAUGACACAUAAAUGCAACUUGUAAUAAAGGUUUGAAUCCCUGGACAAGAAAAAAAGUUUUGUUUUUCCGUAGAAGGAUGUCAAAGGAAAAAUUGACAAAAUUCAAAAUUCAAAUAAAGUCUCUAUGUAAGGACAAAAACUGGGAAUAAUAAUAGUAUCUAUAUCAGUACCAUUGUAAAGAUUAUAUGAUAAAACAUAUUAUCAAUAAGUGUUUGUGUUAACAGGUCAUAUACAUGAUACCCUCAGGGUAAUAUGUCCC
rnacentral:lncRNA from 1 species